UACCCAUCCCGAACACGACCGUUAAGCCCUCCAGCGCCGAUGGUACUUGGACCGCAGGGUCCUGGGAGAGUAGGACGUCGCCAAGC
rnacentral:rRNA from 4 species